rnacentral:lncRNA from 1 species
CGUUCCUCUUUUUUUAUAUUUCUGUAUCUGCCCCUUUCGAUUUCCAAAAUAUGGUCACUUACCCUUAAUUUAGUAAAACAUUUCCUGAUUUCAGAGUUAUUUUUUAUUAAAUAAGGCUCAAUUUCAUAUUUCUUUUUAACUUUACUAUAAAUAAAUAAUUUAUUAUUUUCUGUUAACGAAUUCAAUUUUUUUUAAAACAGUUUUUUAUAAUUUUCUUGCAUAAUUUCUUUUAUCUGUAUAUUCAUUUUCUUUUUUUCUUUUAUAAAGUAAAAAUUUUCAAUAUCACAUAUUUUUAAAUUAUUUUCUAUAUUGGUACAACCCGCAAAUGAUUUGCAUAAUAUAUUAUUACCUGAAACCUGUGAUAACCCAGUUCACACGCAAAGAAAUACUGCAACCGUUUAAAGAACAUUAUAGUAAAAUCUGCUGAAACUAUAUUCUUGUGUGUCAAUUGAUUCUAAUGAAUUGAUAACUGUUUCUUCUAAGUUAUCAAUGUUCAUAGUUGUGUACAUCGACGUUACAUCAUAGGCAAUAAGGAUGCAUUCUUUUGUGACCUCGUGUGACUCUAUUUUAUUAAUGAAGUCUUUUGUAUCUUGAAUGUAAAAGUUAUGCCUCUUCAAUAAUGGUUUUAAGAUUAGACCCAGUAGUAAUCUUUCAAUGCGUCUCGUGGGAGAGUUACACUUAUUGAUGAUUGGUCGGUAAGGAAUGUUUAUGUUUCCAACUAUUUGACCAGUUCGGAAUGCCUCAUUAAUUAUUUCUAGAUUAAUUUUAUGAACUUUUGGAAGAAGGUACAUGUGUCCGUGUUUUGAUUCAUUAUUAUUCCUCAAGAAAUUAUAAGUUUGUGAAUCUAUUUCUUUUUUCCUAUAUAGAUUUUCAACAAUAUCUUUUAUAGAUUUGACAACAAGGUUCAUUUAUUUUCAACUUUUAUUAAAUGCGGUUCCUUCAACCAACAUACGUAAUGAAUCUCAAGACUUAUAUAUUUUAUUGAGACCAUAAUUAUU